rnacentral:rRNA from 1 species
CGAAAGUCUGACGGAGCAACGCCGCGUGAGUGAUGAAGGGUUUCGGCUCGUAAAACUCUGUUGUUAAGGAAGAAUACUUGAGGUAGUAACUGGCCUUGAGAUGACGGUACUUAACCAGAAAGCCACGGCUAACUACGUGCCAGCAGCCGCGGUAAUACGUAGGUGGCAAGCGUUAUCCGGAAUUAUUGGGCGUAAAGCGCGCGUAGGCGGUAAAAUAAGUCUGAUGUGAAAGCCCCCGGCUCAACCGGGGAGGGUCAUUGGAAACUGGGGAACUUGAGUGCAGAAGAGAAAAGCGGAAUUCCACGUGUAGCGGUGAAAUGCGUAGAGAUGUGGAGGAACACCAGUGGCGAAGGCGGCUUUUUGGUCUGUAACUGACGCUGAGGCGCGAAAGCGUGGGGAGCAAACAGGAUUAGAUACCCUGGUAGUCCACGCCGUAAACGAUGAGUGCUAAGUGUUAGAGGGUUUCCGCCCUUUAGUGCUGCAGCUAACGCAUUAAGCACUCCGCCUGGGGAGUACGGUCGCAAGACUGAAACUCAAAGGAAUUCGGG